rnacentral:rRNA from 1 species
UACGUAGGUGGCAAGCGUUAUCCGGAUUUAUUGGGCGUAAAGGGAACGCAGGCGGUCUUUUAAGUCUGAUGUGAAAGCCUUCGGCUUAACCGGAGUAGUGCAUUGGAAACUGGGAGACUUGAGUGCAGAAGAGGAGAGUGGAACUCCAUGUGUAGCGGUGAAAUGCGUAGAUAUAUGGAAGAACACCAGUGGCGAAGGCGGCCUGCUGGACAUUAACUGACGCUGAGGCGCGAAAGCGUGGGGAGCAAACAGG